UGUCUGCGGACGGAAGCAAAGCCACGAGCGACCCUCCAAGCAGAAGAAACAAACGCUCUAGGAACGCGGGGAGGCUGGUGGCCCCGGAGGAGGGGAGGCGAUGCCCACCUCUCGUCCUGGCCGCAAGGUCUGCACACUUCAGAAUAACCCGCAGCCAGCGGGGCGCCCCGGGAAAUCCAGUGGCCUGGGACUCCUGAAAGCCCUGACCUCUCGGCCACGAAGACACGGUGAGCAGCGGGUCAGGGCAGACGCGGCACUUCGGUGGGUGCUGGGCGCCCCGGGGAGAGAGGCGCCUGCACACCAGAGCCAGCAGCGCAGCGGACUCAGCUCCCUUUUCAUUUGUGGACUUUAUUACACUGCAUUUCCAAUCUAUCACCACCUCCUGCUUCUUCCUUUCACCUCCACCGGCGUGAGACAGGAUCACAGAAGGCGAGGGCACGACACCUCCUGAACCAUCACCCGCCAGACCAAAGAGGAGACCCAAGGACUCACCGGCCAGGCAGCAAGAGCCACUGCUCUUUGGGAACCACCACAGGGCCACACGGCCCAGGCAACCGAGCUGCCUGAACUCCUCCAAUCCCAAUCGCCGGAGAAUGCCUGGAUGUUAGCCCUGCAGAGGACCUUGGAGCUCAUGUGGUCCAACCUUUCCAUUUCACAGACACAACUGUUCCGAAAGGAGUCUCGACUUGUAUACACACGAAAUUGCUGGUUCUUCUCGAUGACUAGCACCGUGGCUCCACUCCUUCUGGGCAGCGUGCUCCCUUCGUGACAUCUCGGACCAUCUUCACGACCUUUGAAUCACUUCGUGUUGCUAAAACAGUCUCACUGGAGUUGUUAAACACAAUCCUGUGUUUCUGAACUUUAAUUUUGUAUUCGAUGUGAGGUUCUCUCCAGUUGCCGUCAUCCCCUGCUCCUCCACCUACCCCCGAGCACAGACCAGGGUUUGUGGCUGCAGUGGCUCCCUCGGUGUCGGGAGGCCAAGAGUGGUGACCAUGCCCCCCACGUCCCCGUCUUUCCACAGCAUCAGCCCCUCGUUGUUGGGGUGACGGGUGGAAGGGUGCAGAAUGAGACAUAGUCACCCACGGUGUAGGAGCCGCACCUGGCUUGGUCGUCACUGCUGUGCCUGCACAUGACCACCACCUCCUAAGAGGAGGGAUGGUUGUGCCGAGGCCCUCUCUUUGUUAGUUGUUGCCAUUUCUUCAACACCAUUGACUGCUCUUUUCUCCUCCAUCAGGUAUCCAAAUGUAGGUGCUCUCAGCUUGGUGGGCUUUUUGGAGCAAUGUAGGUCCCAUCUCCUGCCAGCUCCGGCCUGCCCAUCCGAGGCCCGCCCCACCCUUCCCAUGGCUGCCACUCCACAGCCUCGUGGUAUUGGAGUCCCCAUCACCUCAAGAGUGGCCCUUUGAGGAGACAGGCAAGAUGGUGCAAGCCCCUAUCAUCCUGUUUUUCCUGUCCAAUCCGUGGGACAGGGGCUUGGUCUUGCCACAUGAAAUGGUGACAAUACAGGCUAACUCCCAGUAUCCCCAUGUCGGGUCCAAUCACUUCUUUCCAGACUUUUCCUGCAGCUGCUCUUCCAGAAUAGUGCUUUGUAAACUCUAAGGGGCAAAAGAUGGGCCCCGAGUUCCCAACUUAUUGCCGGUGAAGGGAAGGACCCCAUAAUCCCAAAUGUGGUGGGAGAAGUACACUGGAUGCCUUGUCUCCCCCUAUUUGAGAACCUAGCUCUUCAGACCUCUGAGUUUCCAAUCCCGGCUCAGCCGUUCACUACUUGUAGGACUUCCCUACUUUGUGAAAGACAAGGGUGCUACCGGUACCACUCCGUAGGGUUCCCAUGAGUACACAGUGGGAUCAGGCAAUCUGACAUAGAGUAAGUGCUUGAAAAACAUGUAUCGCUGUUGCUGUUCCAUGUUUAUUAUUUUUAUCGGAAUACAUUCCACUCCCUAUUAUUUCUGACUGGAGAAAUCAAGAUUUUGAUGAACUCAGACAUGGUUAGGGGAAGCUCCUUUCCUGGUCCUCUCUGUACCCUACCCAGUGCCCGGUGUACUGCUAAGCACACAGCAGCUGCUCAAUGAGAAAUAUACUCCAGCUUCUGGGGCACAGUCUUCUGAAAUGCAAAUGUUCCACAUGCUAUUGGUGAUCCCAGGAAUGUCAAUGUAAUCUGGAAGCUCAUUCCCACAAGAUUUUCCCCAGCCUGGGAAUGUUUACUGUAAGGAACAGCAGCUGGCUACAGGUCUGAGUGGCACAGUGGAGCAGGCCAGGGGCCCCGAGCAACUACCAGCGAGCAUGCCCUUGCGGGUUUUCCCUCUUGCCCUGGGUGUGUGUGUGUGUGGGGGGGGCUUCUCCUUGGCUUAGCCUCACCGUAGGUCUGUCUGCAGAGUGUUUACUGGAUGGUUUUCUCCAGCUUCUGUGCAUUUCACCUUGUCACCUCCGUCCAUCAACCUUCCUUUACCUUGGAAGAUCAAGUCCUAUGUCUACUGUUGAUUUUAUUCACCUGUUAGAGAGUUAACAUUUUUUAACUGUUUAAUUCAUUCAGCAGAAAUGCUGAUGUUUGUUAGUGCUCUGGUUAUGGCUUUGCGUGGUCUGCCACGAUAUUUUUUCCCCAAAGACUUGCUAUUUUUAACCUGCGUGUUUGCAGAAUGCAAGGACUUUUUAAAACAAAUGCAUAUGAUGUCAUGGGAGAAGCACCUGUGCUGUGUUCAAGAACUCUUUUUUUUUUUUUUUUUUUAAUUUAUGAUAGUCACAGAGAGAGAGAGAGAGAGAGGCAGAGACAUAGGCAGAGGGAGAAGCAGGCUCCAUGCACAGGAACCCGACUGUGGGAUUCGAUCCCGGGUCUCCAGGAUCGCGCCCUGGGCCAAAGGCAGGCGCCAAACCACUGUGCCACCCAGGGAUCCCCUGUUCAAGAA
rnacentral:lncRNA from 1 species